rnacentral:rRNA from 1 species
UACGUAGGGUGCAAGCGUUGUCCGGAAUUAUUGGGCGUAAAGGGCUCGUAGGCGGUCUGUCACGUCGGGAGUGAAAACUUGGGGCUUAACCCCAAGCCUGCUUCCGAUACGGGCAGACUAGAGUUCGGUAGGGGAGUCUGGAAUUCCUGGUGUAGCGGUGAAAUGCGCAGAUAUCAGGAGGAACACCGGUGGCGAAGGCGGGACUCUGGGCCGAUACUGACGCUGAGGAGCGAAAGCGUGGGGAGCAAACAGG